UUUAUGGAGAGUUUGAUCCUGGCUCAGGACGAACGCUGGCGGCGUGCCUAAUACAUGCAAGUCGAGCGGAGUUGAUGAGGUGCUUGCACCUCUGAUGCUUAGCGGCGGACGGGUGAGUAACACGU
rnacentral:rRNA from 1 species